UUUUCUAUAGUGAAGAGAAUCACAUAACUUUUUCAAAGUUAAAACGUAAUACAUUACUAGAAAUA
rnacentral:tRNA from 1 species